AUGAUAAAUAUUUUCAAAGGGUGGGACCCGAGACUCGAACCCGGGUCCUCCAGACUAGAAAGCCGAAGCGUUUCCACGCGGCCAAUCCGGCUGUUAGACGUUCGGUUAAAUGCCAUAAGGAUGCAAACAUGAAUGUUAACGUGCUACUUAGGAGGACCCGGGUUAACGUUCCAGAUCCGGCAUCUUCUGAAAAGUUUUUUGGGGUUCUGGAUUCUGCCCGGCGAUCCCCGUUCUUCACCAUACGGCCCCCCUCCACGGGUAUGGGUGCAGCUCGUGAUUGGAAUUGGCCCCGCCACUCCUUAAUCUCCGAUUUGAAAAGGGACAUAAUACUGUAAAAAAAAAUGUCGAAACAUAACCAUUAAGUUUAAUAAACUAUCUUACUCUAAAUUAGUCAUUCUAAAAUGCAAUAAAAGAUGCACACAAAAAACAAAGCUCCAAACAGGAUAAAUACUCGUACUUUAUUAAAAGAAACGUUUUCGACCUUAUCAUGUUUAUUAGUGCAAUUCAAUUUUAAGAUACAUUUUGAUUUUAGAGAUGACAAAAUGUGCAUCUUAGAAUUAGUAUAUUUCACAGUUCUAAGACAUAAGUUUAAU
rnacentral:lncRNA from 1 species